UCGCUUUAAAUAUAAUUUCUGGAUACGUUUCAGCAAACACCCAGUAUAUCAUUUCCUACUUGCAGAGUGCCCAACCACCAGCGGAAGAGCCUGCAGAAAUAGAAGACCCUGUACGGCAAGAAGAGUCUGCAUCAGCAGAAGCCCGUACAAUGGCUCCUGAACCAACAGGGAGCAGUGGUCUGGUGCAACCUCGCCCGAACAGCCAGCCAGGAACACGAGUUCAACGUCGCAGAAGGCGGAGGGUGCCGAUCAACAUUGCACAGCAGAUUUUAGCGGCUCAGAGAACUCUUGUUGACCGCAUUGACCGACUCACCGAGGGCUUCGAACUGGGGUCAUGAGCCAGGGCUCAAAAGGAUAGCCGAGGUCACCUGAGGGAAAAUAAAGAGCAGAAAACUGAAGACACGUCCUAUGUGAUCAUACAGCUGCAUGGCAACAUGUGUAUAUAUGUAUAUAGUGUACUUUCAAUAUUUCUUGCUUCGUGACAAACACAUUGUGUGCACACCAUAUUUUAGUUAUCGUCCUACAUUUGUCAUAUGUGCGAGGGCAUACAAGGCAUACAUUUCACCUGUGUACAGCAUUUUGUAUAUAUUUAAAUUUCAAUAAACAUUAACAUCACUUCUCGUAAUGUCUCUUAAAAUGCAAUUCCAUUUUGUCUUUCGGCAUAGCAGACUCUCAUAAAUUGAAACCCCAAUUUCGUUUGAAUUAGGUCAUUUUUUUGUCAGUGACAGUGAAAUUUCGAGCCAUGUGCACAGCAUUUUGCAUACAUCGCCCCUAAUUUUCUGAAAGGCCUUCUAAAGAAUAAUCCGUUACUCAUGCUCCCCUUUAUUUUAUCGGCCCUCUUUU